UACGUAGGCAGCAAACGUUGUUCGGAAUUACUGGGCGUAAAGAGUGUGUAGGCGGUUUUGUUAGUUUGGUGUGAAAUCUCCCGGCUUAACUGGGAGGGUGCGCCGAAUACUGCAAAGCUUGAGUACUGGAGAGGAUAGCGGAAUUCCUGGUGUAGCGGUGAAAUGCGCAGAUAUCAGGAAGAACACCCGUGGCGAAGGCGGCUCUCUGGGACGGUACUGACGCUGAGACGCGAAAGCGUGGGGAGCGAACAGG
rnacentral:rRNA from 1 species